UUUCCGUAGGUGAACCUUCGGAAGGAUCAUUACCGAGUGUUGACCGCAUUGUCGUUGUCCUUCCGCCGCUUUUGACCGCCCUGAGCAUCUUCUCUACCCCUCCUCACUUCCUCUGGGUAUCAGCCCCUCAAGCGCGCUUCUUUACCGUCGCUUGGGGAGCGUGUCUGUGACUGCGUUAAUCUUAAAACAUAGGAAGUAUUAGAACGUGCAUUACGGUGUAACGCAUCAAUCCACAACAUUCAACAACGGAACUCCUGUCACCCGCAUCGAUGACGAACG
rnacentral:misc_RNA from 1 species